rnacentral:rRNA from 1 species
UACAGGGGGGGCAAGCGUUGUUCGGAAUUACUGGGCGUAAAGGGCUCGUAGGUGGCCAACUAAGUCAGACGUGAAAUCCCUCAGCUUAACUGGGGAACUGCGUCUGAUACUGGAUGGCUUGAGUUUGGGAGAGGGAUGCGGAAUUCCAGGUGUAGCGGUGAAAUGACGUAGAUAUCUGGAGGAACACCGGUGGCGAAGGCGGCAUCCUGGACCAACACUGACACUGAGGAGCGAAAGCCAGGGGAGCAAACGGG